GACAGAAGAGGCUUCCUCCUCUGCCCUGGAGCUGAAGCAGCAGGGCUGGUGGAACAAGCAAAGGAACACAGUGUUUGGAAAGAUGUUUUAUCAAUCUUGAUUUGUCAUUCACAUACAGUGCAAGACUUUUUCCUCACUUGAUUUUGGAGCUCCUUGUAAAAGUUAAAGGCAGAAAGAGGCUGCUGAGUUGUGGUAUGUUAGCAUCAUUGUGAAAUGGCAUAUUAAUAAGUAAAAAUUAGAAUUAAAAAUAUAAUGUUAAGGGCAUUCGUAAGAGGGUUGUCCCAAGAGGGCAAGAGAUGAU
rnacentral:lncRNA from 12 species